UACCUACGGGACGCAGCAGUAGGGAAUUUUCGUCAAUGGGCGCAAGCCUGAACGAGCGAUGCCGCGUGAGUGAAGAAGGCUUUCGGGUUGUAAACUUCUUUUGUCAGGGACGAAGCAAGUGACGGUACCUGACGAAUAAGCCACGGCUAACUACGUGCCAGCAGCCGCGGUAAUACGUAGGUGGCAAGCGUUAUCCGGAUUUAUUGGGUGUAAAGGGCGUGUAGGCGGGAAUGCAAGUCAGAUGGGAAAACUAUGGGCUCAACCCAUAGCC
rnacentral:rRNA from 1 species